rnacentral:rRNA from 1 species
UACGUAGGGGGCAAGCGUUGUCCGGAAUUAUUGGGCGUAAAGCGCGCGCAGGCGGUUGUUUAAGUCUGGUGUAUAAACCAAGGGCUCAACCUUUGGACGCAUUGGAAACUGGGCAACUGGAGUGUAGGAGAGGAAAGUGGAAUUCCACGUGUAGCGGUGAAAUGCGCAGAUAUCAGGAAGAACACCCGUGGCUAAGGCGGCUCUCUAGUACGGUACUGACGCUGAGACGCGAAAGCGUGGGGAGCGAACAGG